rnacentral:lncRNA from 1 species
UUAAGGAUGUACUUAGGUGAGGUUUUGGAAUUUGUGUCAAAUGUUUGAACUCCUUGGUGUUUUUCCAUACAAUACAAUGUAAAAUAUUUUGCCCCAUAACACCCAUUUAUUUUUUCAUAUAAGAUUUAUUAGCUCAUGAAAGGUCAUUUACCAAAAUUUUAGAAGAUUCUUGAUUUUCUUUCUUUGGUUUUGAGACCCAAAUAAUAUCAAUGCAAAUAAAAGGUAAAAGUCCGAGUCAGCCUUUUCCCCGCCAUAUUUUAAAUCUCAAAUAUCUCGAAAAGGAGGUCCAUGACCUAUCAAUAAUUUUAGCUUAUCUUUAUCCUUAAUUGAUGCUCUACCUGCUUAUAGUAUCAAUUUUAACUUCUUAAUUUAUUAAUUUUCACCUAACCUCACCUAAGUACAUCCUUAAGAAAC